rnacentral:rRNA from 1 species
AGAGUUUGAUCCUGGCUCAGGACGAACGCUGGCGGCGUGCUUAACACAUGCAAGUCGAACGGAGUUAAUUAGGAAGCUUGCUUUUUAAUUAACUUAGUGGCGGACGGGUGAGUAACGCGUGGGCAAUCUGCCCGUAAGAGGGGGAUAACACCUAGAAAUGGGUGCUAAUACCGCAUAACAUCGUGGUGUUGCAUGAUACUGCGAUCAAAGGAGCAAUCCGCUUACGGAUGAGCCCGCGUCUGAUUAGCUAGUUGGUGGGGUAACGGCCUACCAAGGCGACGAUCAGUAGCCGGCCUGAGAGGGUGACCGGCCACACUGGAACUGAGACACGGUCCAGACUCCUGCGGGAGGCAGCAGUGGGGAAUCUUCCGCAAUGGGCGAAAGCCUGACGGAGCAACGCCGCGUGAGUGAUGAAGGCCUUCGGGUUGUAAAACUCUGUCUUCAGGGAAGAAACAAAUGACGGUACCUGAGGAGGAAGCCACGGCUAACUACGUGCCAGCAGCCGCGGUAAUACGUAGGUGGCAAGCGUUGUCCGGAAUUACUGGGCGUAAAGAGC